rnacentral:rRNA from 1 species
ACAUGCCUAAAAAAUAGAGUUAAUGCGCUGAAUCCCAUUAGAACUCUGUAGUUAAGUGCGCUCGGGAUAGAGUAGUACUGGAAUGGGUGACCCCCUGGGAAGUCCUAGUAUUUUAUACAUGCC